GACGAACGCUGGCGGCGUGCUUAACACAUGCAAGUCGAACGGAAAGGCCCUGCUUGCGGGGUACUCGAGUGGCGAACGGGUGAGUAACACGUGGGUGAUCUGCCCUGCACUUCGGGAUAAGCCUGGGAAACUGGGUCUAAUACCGGAUAGGAGCCAUUUUUAGUGUGAUGGUUGGAAAGUUUUUUCGGUGUAGGAUGAGCUCGCGGCCUAUCAGCUUGUUGGUGGGGUAAUGGCCUACCAAGGCGGCAACGUGUAGCCGGCCUGUGGGGGUGGACGGCCACAUUGGGACUGAGGUACGGCCCAGGUUCCUACGGGAGGGAGCAGUGGGGAAGAUUGAACAAUGGGCGCAAGGCUGAUGCAGCGACGCCGCGUGGGGGAUGACGGCCUUCGGGUUGUAAACUCCUUUCGCAAGGGACGAAGCUUUUUGUGACGGUACCUAGAUAAGAAGCACCGGCUAACUACGUG
rnacentral:rRNA from 1 species